rnacentral:rRNA from 1 species
CUUAGUACGGCGAGUGAAGCGGUAAAAGCUCAAAUUUGAAAUCUGGUACUUUCAGUGCCCGAGUUGUAAUUUGUAGAAUUUGUCUUUGAUUAGGUCCUUGUCUAUGUUCCUUGGAACAGGACGUCAUAGAGGGUGAGAAUCCCGUUUGGCGAGGAUACCUUUUCUCUGUAAGACUUUUUCGAAGAGUCGAGUUGUUUGGGAAUGCAGCUCAAAGUGGGUGGUAAAUUCCAUCUAAAGCUAAAUAUUGGCGAGAGACCGAUAGCGAACAAGUACAGUGAUGGAAAGAUGAAAAGAACUUUGAAAAGAGAGUGAAAAAGUACGUGAAAUUGUUGAAAGGGAAGGGCAUUUGAUCAGACAUGGUGUUUUUUGCAUGCACUCGCCUCUCGUGGGCUUGGGCCUCUCAAAAAUUUCACUGGGCCAACAUCAAUUCUGGCAGUAGGAUAAAUCAUUAAGAAUGUAGCUACCUCGGUAGUGUUAUAGCUUAUUGGAAUACUGCUAGCUGGGAUUGAGGACUGCGCUUCGGCAAGGAUGUUGGCAUAAUGGUUAAAUGCCGCCCGUCU